rnacentral:rRNA from 1 species
GACGAACGCUGGCGGCGUGCUUAACACAUGCAAGUCGAACGGUGAAGCGCCUUCCUUUUUGGUGGGUGUGGAUGAGUGGCGAACGGGUGGGUAACACGUGAGUAACCUGCCCCCUUCUUCUGGAUAACCGCAUGAAAGUGUGGCUAAUACGGGAUAUUCUGGGUCUGUCGCAUGAUGGGUCUGGGAAAGAUAUUGUUUCGGUGGGGGAUGGGCUCGCGGCCUAUCAGCUUGUUGGUGGGGUGAUGGCCUACCAAGGCGGUGACGGGUAGCCGGCCUGGGAGGGUGGACGGUCACACUGGGACGGAGGCACGGCCCGGACUCCUACGGGAGGCAGCAGUGGGGAAUAUUGCACAAUGGGCGCAAGCCUGAUGCAGCGACGCCGCGGGAGGGAUGGAGGCCUUCGGGUUGUGAACCUCUUUCGCCAGUGAAGCAGGCCUGCCUCGUUUGUGGGUGGGUUGACGGUAGCUGGAAAAGAAGCGCCGGCUAACUACGUG